rnacentral:rRNA from 1 species
AUUUAUGGCCAUGCCACCCUGAACAAGCCUGAUCCUGUCUGAUCUCAGAAGCUAAGCAGGGUCGGGCCUGGUUAGUACUUGGAUGGGAGACCACCUAGGAAGACCAGGUGCUGUAGGCG